rnacentral:lncRNA from 1 species
AUGUUAUGCCUAAGCCAUUUAGAACAGUAUCUAAUAUAUACAUGUUCAGUAAACAGCGCUGUCCGUAUUAUUGUCAUCAUCAUCAUCUUCAUCAUCAUUGCCGACUGCAGAGUAAUAACAUCUCUUUGGUUUGGAGCCAGAGCUGAGGAGAGAAUACUGUGGCAGAAGCCUCUUCCAGACCCACUGUGCCUGUUGUGA